GCAACCUACCUUUAUCAGGGGGAUAGCCUUUCGAAAGGAAGAUUAAUACCCCAUAAUAUAUUUGAUGGCAUCAUUGGAUAUUGAAAACUCCGGUGGAUAGAGAUGGGCACGCGCAAGAUUAGAUAGUUGGUGAGGUAACGGCUCACCAAGUCAAUGAUCUUUAGGGGGCCUGAGAGGGUGAUCCCCCACACUGGUACUGAGACACGGACCAGACUCCUACGGGAGGCAGCAGUGAGGAAUAUUGGACAAUGGGUGAGAGCCUGAUCCAGCCAUCCCGCGUGAAGGACGACGGCCCUAUGGGUUGUAAACUUCUUUUGUAUAGGGAUAAACCUACUCUCGUGAGAGUAGCUGAAGGUACUAUACGAAUAANCACCGGCUAACUCCGUGCCAGCAGCCGCGGUAAUACGGAGGGUGCAAGCGUUAUCCGGAUUUAUUGGGUUUAAAGGGUCCGUAGGCGGACUCGUAAGUCAGUGGUGAANUCUCAUAGCUUAAANUAUGAAACUGCCAUUGAUACUGCGGGUCUUGAGUAAAGUAGAAGUGGCUGGAAUAAGUAGNGUAGNCGGUGAAAUGCAUAGAUAUUACUUAGAACACCAAUUGCGAAGGCAGGUCACUANGUUUUAACUGACGCUGAUNNNNNNAAGCGUGGGGAGCGAACAGGAUUAGAUACCCUGGUAGUCCACGCCGUAAACGAUGNUAACUCGUUUUUGGGCUUUCGGGUUCAGAGACUAAGCGAAAGUGAUAAGUUAGCCACNNGGGGAGUACGUUCGCAAGAAUGAAACUCAAAGGAAUUGACGGGGGCCCGCACAAGCGGUGGAUUAUGUGGUUUAAUUCGAUGAUACGCGAGGAACCUUACCAAGGCUUAAAUGGGAAUUGAUCGGUUUAGAAAUAGACUUUCCUUCGGGCAAUUUUCAAGGUGCUGCAUGGUUGUCGUCAGCUCGUGCCGUGAGGUGUUAGGUUAAGUCCUGCAACGAGCGCAACCCCUGUCACUAGUUGCUAACAUUCAGUUGAGGACUCUAGUGAGACUGCCUACGCAAGUAGAGAGGAAGGUGGGGAUGACGUCAAAUCAUCACGGCCCUUACGCCUUGGGCCACACACGUAAUACAAUGGCCGGUACAGAGGGCAGCUACACAGCGAUGUGAUGCGAAUCUCGAAAGCCGGUCUCAGUUCGGAUUGGAGUCUGCAACUCGACUCUAUGAAGCUGGAAUCGNUAGUAAUCGCGCAUCAGCCAUGGCGCG
rnacentral:rRNA from 1 species